rnacentral:rRNA from 1 species
GACGAACGCUGGCGGCGUGCUUAACACAUGCAAGUCGAACGGAAAGGCCCUGCUUUUGUGGGGUGCUCGAGUGGCGAACGGGUGAGUAACACGUGAGUAACCUGCCCUUGACUUUGGGAUAACUUCAGGAAACUGGGGCUAAUACCGGAUAGGAGCUCCUGCUGCAUGGUGGGGGUUGGAAAGUUUCGGCGGUUGGGGAUGGACUCGCGGCUUAUCAGCUUGUUGGUGGGGUAGUGGCUUACCAAGGCUUUGACGGGUAGCCGGCCUGGGAGGGUGACCGGCCACCUUGGGCCUGAGAUACGGCCCAGACUCCUACGGGAGGCAGCAGUGGGGAAUAUUGCACAAUGGGCGGAAGCCUGAGGCAGCAACGCCGCGUGCGGGAUGACGGCCUUCGGGUUGUAAACCGCUUUCGCCUGUGACGAAGCGUGAGUGACGGUAAUGGGUAAAGAAGCACCGGCUAACUACGUG